rnacentral:rRNA from 1 species
GACGAACGCUGGCGGCGUGCCUAAUACAUGCAAGUCGAACGCUGAAGGAGGAGCUUGCUUCUCUGGAUGAGUUGCGAACGGGUGAGUAACGCGUAGGUAACCUGCCUGGUAGCGGGGGAUAACUAUUGGAAACGAUAGCUAAUACCGCAUAAUAGUAGAUGUUGCAUGACAUUUGCUUAAAAGGUGCAAUUGCAUCACUACCAGAUGGACCUGCGUUGUAUUAGCUAGUUGGUGAGGUAACGGCUUACCAAGGCAGCGAUACAUAGCCGACCUGAGAGGGUGAUCGGCCACACUGGGACUGAGACACGGCCCAGACUCCUACGGGAGGCAGCAGUAGGGAAUCUUCGGCAAUGGACGGAAGUCUGACCGAGCAACGCCGCGUGAGUGAAGAAGGUGUUCGGAUCGUAAAGCUCUGUUGUAAGAGAAGAACGAGUGUGAGAGUGGAAAGUUCACACUGUGACGGUAUCUUACCAGAAAGGGACGGCUAACUACGU